AAAAAAUUACAGAGGCUCCAGAUCAUGUAAUCUUUCUUCAGAGAGGAUUCACCUUUUUCUCUGCUGGGCAGGUAGAGAGAAGACUGAUCACCCUAAAUCCAGUCAAGGACUAAGCUUUGUUCACAGGGGGUAAGGCUUCAAUUACCUCUCCAGUGCAUAGCUCUCCUGGGCUUCCAGAUGGGGGCCUGCUGUGUUCACUGGAGCCUCUCCUUCUGUCUAGUCCUCCACUUUAUUAUUUUUUUUCUUUCCUCACUCAAAAACUCAGAUCUUCUUUUUCUGGUCUUUUUGUCUUGGGUUCUUAGUUUCCCUUCUCAUUCAGAAUUCAAGAGCGAUCCUGGGGAGAACCUACAUGUGCCAGCUCUAGUGCUGUGUCUUCCCGUUAUGACUUCGUUAAAUUAACGUUUGCUAAGAGAAGCACGGGGUGCUGGAUGGUGAGCCACAGUUCAACAAAGGACCAUAAGAGAAAUUGGAAUAGAGAAGUUUAUUACUCACAGGACCUGGAGGAAGUACAUGGCAUACCUCGAGGAGCCACACGGAGAGGAGAGGUCAAGUAAAGGUGCAAGCAGAGAGAGAGGCAGGACCUGGGGUAAUAUAAGGCUCUGGACUUGCUAGCAGAAAAGGAGGAAUUUGAGGCUGGCCAGCUGGAGCAUAUUUUUC
rnacentral:lncRNA from 1 species